GACGAACGCUGGCGGCGUGCUUAACACAUGCAAGUCGUACGGUAAGGCCCUUUCUGUGGUGCACGCGUGGCGAACGAGUGGGUAACUCGCGAGUAACCUGCCCACCCCUUUGGUAUAGCGCUCUUAAACUGGUGCUAAUACUGGCCAUGUACUCCUGCUGCCUGCUGGGGGUUGGAAAGCUCCGGCGGUCGGGGAUGGACUCGCGGCCGAUCAGCUUGUUGGUGGGGUAGUGGCCUACCAACGCGGCGUUGGGUGGCCGGCCGGAGAGGGUGGCCGGCCAAAUUGGGACUGGGAUAAGGCCCAGACCCCUACGGGAGGCAGCAGGGGGGAAGAUUGCAAAAUGGGCGCAAGCCUGGUGCAGCAACGGCGCGGGGGGGAUGACGGCCUUCGGGUUGUAAACCGCUUUCAGCAGGGACGGAGCUGUUUGUGACGGUACUUGCAGAAGAAGCACCGGCUAACUACGUG
rnacentral:rRNA from 1 species